ensembl:lincRNA
GUGACAUCAUAGGAGGGACAGGAGCCCUAGGCAAUAUGUACUAAGUAGACUUUCAUGAACUCAACGAGAUGCUGCAAGAGAUAAAAUAAUGAGAUGCUACAUCGUAGGAUCUGUCUCUGAGUCCACAUUGCGGGAGAAAAGACCAUUCUUCGGAAAGAUGCAGAGGAAGCCCCGUACCUCCCUCAAGGGAUUGAGAUGGGAGACUGAGGGAAUCCUGGGGUCUCUGCCCUCUCCCUCACUGGGAAACAAGCUCUGUUUCUUCAUGUGCCGGAGCCCUGCCUCUGUGGGUGCAGCCUGAGGACAAAGGCAGUGCUGCAUCCCCUGAUCCCCUACCCCCUACAACCUCCUGCCCAGCCUCUCGGGUGCUCCUCAGCUUGUCAUCAGGGAGGAAGCAGCCAUCUCCUGCGAUGACUGACUUCAAGCCUCAACUUUCCCACAGCUUCUCAAAAGCCAAGGCUGAGGCCAAGUUCUAGCUGCUGCCUUGGGACAGGUCAAGGGCCUCCUGCAAUCUCAUGCAUAAACUGGUACCCAUGAGCAUGUGGUCUAAGAGAUUUAUUGACCCCUCUCCAAGUCCUUGCGAGAGGAAUCCUGCACACCUAUAUCCACAAUGAAGGGAGCCAUAUCCCCAGCUGGGUAGCCAUAUCCCUAAUGAUAUCACUUAUGAAAGGUGACAAGUCCUUUCUACCACUCUUAUUUAAGUGAAAAUAUAUUUAGUCAAUUAUGGUCUUUCUCUUGUGUCUACUGAAAGCAUGGUAAGAGUCUGUUUUAACUGAGAAUAUUUUUUAUCUCCUCAUUCUACUCCCAAAUGAGUUUUUCAGGGUCCCGUGGUCUUGAUGGUCUUUCAACUAUAGCUGCCUAUAAACCCUGUACAUAGGGGACACUAUGACCCUUGGAUCUUUUUCUAUAAUGUCCAUGUUCCAGUGAGCCAUAGAGCCAGAUCCACUUGAAUUCAAUUUCCAAAAACAAACCUGCUGGGAUUUUGAUUGGAAUUGUAUUGAAUCUAUGCAUUCGUUUUGAGAACUGACAUCAUUAUAAUAUGAGCCUUCCCAUUUGUGAACAUGGUAUAACCCUACAUUUAUUUAGGUCUUUAAAUUCCCUCAGUAAUGCUUUGUAGUUCAGUGUAGAGGUCUUGCACAUUUUUCAUUUGAUUUAUUCCUAGGCAUUUGAUGGGCUUUGCUGCUAUUGUAAAUUGUAUUUUUAGAAGGGAUUUUCGUAAGCACUAGUGAUUGGUAGUGUAGGAAGGAGAGCCCCAGCAAUACCUGCUCUUCGUCUUUAAAGAAAUCCAAGCUUAUGGAGAUAUAAUUCAUAUUCCAUACAAUUCACCCAUUUAAAGUAUACAAUUCAAUAGUUUUUAGAAUAUUUGUAGGUAUGUGUAACCAUCCACUGUCAAUUUUAUAACAUUUUCAUCACCUUAAAAAGUAACCUCAUGCCCUUUAGCUAUUACCCACCUAUUGCAUCUGUUACAGUCUGAAUAUGUCUCCCCUCUAAAUUCAUAUGUUGAAAUCCUAACCCUCAAGGUGAUGGCAUUAGGAGGUGGGGCCUUUUAGGAGGUGAUUAGGUCAUGAUAGCAGAGUUCUUGUGAAUGGGAUUAGUGUCCUUAUAAAAGAGGCCCAGAGAGUUACUUUACCUCUUCUAGCAAGUGAGGACACAGUGAGAAGUCUCCACCUGGAGAAAGUGGGCCCUCACCAGACACCAAAUCUGCUGCUGCCUUCAUGCUGGACUUUCCAGCCUCCAGAACUAUGAGAAAUAAAUUCCUGCUGCCUAUAAGCCACCCAGUCUAUGGUAUUUUGUUACAGCAGCCCAAAUGAACUAAGACAGCAUUUAAAAAGAAUAAUUUCGUUUUCUAAUUUUUGUUGCUGUUAUAGAUAAAUAUAAUUUAUCUUAAUGCAUCAAUCUUGUAUUAAAAAAACUUGUAUUUAGGCUGGGCACAGUGGCUCAUGUCUGCAAUCCCAGCACUUUGGGAGGCCGAGGUGGGCAGAUCAUCUGAGUUCAGGAGUUCAAGGCCAGCCUGGC